GAAGAAGGAGCUCAGGGCUUGAGGUGGACAAUCAUAGAUGAUGCGGCUAACAGUCCAGAGGAAUCCAAGAGAAGAAGGAGCUCACACUUUUUAACAAACAGCACAUCUCACUGAAUAACUUCCAAGUUGAGUCAUAAGUGUUGUGAGGCAGGCUCGUAGUGAGGACCCAGAAGCAGACACUGAGACAGGGAUCAACGUAAAGCGAAUUUAAUGUCCAAAACAGAAAGGGAUGGCUAAGGAAACAAAGGAAGUCCGGGUGGUUGGCUGGUUGGCUGGCUGUCGUGUGGGCUGGAGACACUGCAGGAGAAACCAGAGGAGACAGGAGUUAGAGAACAUGAAAAAGAGUCACUAGGAGCAAAGUUCUCAAAGUUAUACCACGAGGAAGGCCAGGAGACGCGUCUGUACCGCUAGGAAGGGUAGACAAUACUCAGGCGCUGAGACUGAGGGCUGCAGGCUUCUUAAAGUCCCUUAAUUGGAGAUGAGGAGCAGGUGUGUCGUCUCACUCAGCCUCAGCGCCGGGGGAGGGGAGGAAGCUCUGGAAAAGAGUACAGCCAGACCAGGCAAACAGGGAAAAACAGGAAGUCCGGCCAAAAUAAAACAGGAUGAGGAGGCGUCUCACCACAGUACCCCCCCCCUUAACGAACGCCUCUUGGCGUUCUGCCGGGCUUGUUGGGGUGGGCAGCGUAGAACUCUUCCAGGAGUUGGCGUUUCAGGAUGAGAGAGCGGGAGAUCCAGGAACGUUCCUCUGGACCGUAACCCUCCCAGUCCAUGAGGUAUUGGAAGCCUCGCCCCCAAGGCCGCACGUCCAGGAUUUUCCUUACAGUGAAGGCAGGGUGGUCAUCAAUCAAUCGGGGGGGUGGAGGGGCGACGGAAGGAGGGCUCAGGGUGCACGAGGCAACAGGUUUUAACAAGGAGACAUGGAAUGUGGGAUGAAUUUUGAGAGAUGAGGGAAGUUUUAAUCUCACCGCUGAAGGGUUGAUGAUUUUCUGGAUAGGGAAGGGACCAAUGAAGCGGGGGGACAACUUGCGGGACUCAGUCUGCAGGGAGAGGUCACGAGACGAUAACCAGACCAUCUGACCAGGACGAUAGUCUGGUGCUGAAGAGCGGUGAACGUCAGCCAGGCGUUUGUUGCGCUCGGCCGUGCGGGUGAGUGCGGCCCUGGCCGAUCUCCACACCUCCCGUAGACGCCCAAUGUGCUCCCUCACCGACGGGACGGCCACAGGUUGCUCCUGUUCGGGAAACAGGGGGGGCUGGUACCCAAAACAGCACAUGAAAGGGGACAUACCUGUGGCUGAAGAGGUGAGGGAGUUAUGGGCGUAUUGGAUCCACGGGAGGUGCGUACUCCAGGACGCUGGAUGAUGGGCCGCCACACACCGCAGGGCCGACUCGAGGUUCUGAUUAGCCCGCUCCAUCUGGCCAUUGGUCUGUGGGUGGUAACCCAAGGAGAGGCUAGCUGCUGCGCCCACUGCCUGGCAGAAAGCUCUCCAGACCUGAGAGGAAAACUGGCUAUGUGGGACCAGGGGCGUGAAGGCACAGGCAGAGGACGCAGCAAGCCAGCCGGAGGUUGGUGGGAGGCUUUGCUUCGGGCACAGACGGAGCAGGCAGCAACAAACGCCCGUACGUCCCGGACCAUCCCCGGCCACCAGAACCGCUGCUGGAGGAAUUGGAGGGUGCGUUGAAACCCGGGGUGGCAGGUGAGCUUGGAGGAGUGCCCCCACUGUAGGACCUGAGAACGUGCGACCUCAGGGACGAACUUUCUGUCCGGCGGGCCGGUUCCGGGGUCUGGGUGGUUCCGGAGGGCCUGGUCCACGAUGGUAUCGAUCUCCCAGGUGGCGGAGCCAACGACACAGGAGGCGGGGAGGAUGGUGUCUGGUUCACUGGGGUCCGGGGUAUCCGAGGCGUGGAUCCGAGAGAGGGCGUCUGGUUUGAGGUUGCGGGAGCCGGGACGAUAGGAGAGGGUGAAAUUGAAUCUGCUGAGGAAAAAAGGGACCAGCGGGCUUGCCUUGGGUUGAGGCGACGAGCGGAGCGGAGGUAUUGCAGGUUCUUGUGGUCUGUCCAGAUUAGAAACGGUUGGGAAGCUCCUUCCAGCCAGUGUCUCCAUUCUUGCAGUGUCCACACGACAGCCAGUAAUUCACGGUUUCCCACGUCAUAAUUUUGUUCCGUGGCUGAGAGUUUCCGGGAGAAAAAGGCGCAAGGAUGAAGCUUCUGGGUCUGAGAGUCCCUCUGUGAGAGGACGGCCCCUACUCCAGAGUCCGAAGCGUCGACCUCCACCACGAACUGAAGUGAGGGAUCUGGGUGUUUGAGCACCGGGGCGGAGAUGAAGAGGGAUUUGAGAUGAUGGAAGGUGGCGUCUGCUUCGGGGGUCCAGGAGAAUGGAACCUUGAGGGAUGUGAGCCGGGUGAGGGGAACUGCUACCUUACUGUAGUUCUUAAUGAACCGUCGAUAGAAAUUAGCGAAGCCGAGGAAUCGCUGGAGGUCUUUGCGGGAGGAGGGAGUGGGCCAGUCACGGACAGCACGGAUUUUUUCUGGGUCUGGGCGUAGCUCCCCCUGGGCGAUGAUGUAGCCAAGGAAACUGACGGAGGAGGCGUGGAACUCGCACUUUUCGGGCUUCACGAAAAGGCGGUUUUCGAGGAGGCGCUGAAGGACGAGUCGGACGUGCUGCUGGUGUUCCUCCAGGUUUCGGGAGAAGAUCAGGAUAUCGUCCAAGUAGACAAAGGCGAACUUGGUAAUCAUGUCACGGAGGACAUCAUUAAUGAGGGUCUGGAACACAGCAGGGGCGUUGGUGAGGCCAAAGGGCAUAACCAGGUAUUCGAAGUGGCCCAUGGGUGUGUUAAAGGCAGUCUUACACUCAUCCCCCUCCCGGAUGCGAACCAGGUGAUAGGCAUUCCGGAGGUCCAGUUUUGAGAAGAUGGUGGCUUGACAGAGAGGUUCGAAGGAGGGAUCAAUGAGUGGCAGGGGAUAUUUGUUUUUAAUGGUGAUGUCAUUUAAUCCACGGAAGUCAAUGCAGGGACGGAGAGAGGAAUCUUUUUUCUUCACGAAGAAGAAGCCAGCAGCAAGGGGAGAAGAUGAGGGUCGGAUGAGUCCAGAGGUCAGGGAGUCUUGAAUAUAUUCCUCCAUGGCCUCUCGUUCGGGCCGAGAGAGGUUGUAUAGUCUACUACUGGGAAGAGGUGCGCCAGGGAGCAGGUCUAUGGCGCAGUCAUAGGGGCGAUGAGGAGGAAGGACAAGAGACUGCUCCUUACUGAACACCAUUGCCAGGUCAUGGUAAACGGGGGGAACCGAGGUGAGAGAUGGCGGUGGAGAUGCUGACCUCUGUCGGUGGAUGUAGGGAUUGGCGGAGCGGAGGCAGUGGGAGUGACAGUGAGGGCUCCAGGCGGAGAUUGAAGAUGUGGACCAGUUAAUCUGAGGGUUGUGGAUUUGCAGCCAAGGGAGUCCCAGUACCAGGGGAGAGUGAGGAGAGGGAAGCAGGAACAGCCGGAUGUCCUCCCGAUGGUUACCGGAGAGGAUGAGGGUGAGGGGAGCAGUGCGGUGUGUAAUGGAGGCUAUUACUCUGCCAUCGAGAGCGGUGACCUUACGGGGAACCGGGAGUUCCUCCAGGGGGAGCUGAAGCCGCGCUGCCAGUCCGGUGUGAAUGAAGUUAUCGUCCGCCCCAGAGUCAAUGAGGGUUUGGAGGGAAGUGGAUUCCUUUCCCCAAAGGAGACAGGCAGGGACUGUGAUACGCCUGGGGGAGCUGGAGGUAGAGGAGGUGUGGCUGAUUUGCAUGGGUUCUCCAGUGGAGGGUGUCGGAGCCAGAGGAGCUGAGGGCUGCAGAGGAGACCCGCUGACUGCAACAGAGGAAGGGGAGUCUAUUUUAGGGACCAGGGAAUGGAUUUCCUUCACCCUCCGUCUCUCCCUGAGGCGAUUAUCUAUACGAAUAGCGAACGCUAUUAGCUCCUCAAGGGAGGAAGGCUCAUCUCGAGCCGCUAGCUCGUCUUUCAAUUGUUCUGAGAGACCCCGAGUGAAUGCCUCUUUUAACUCGAGUUCCCCCCACCCACUCUCGGCCGCCACUGACCGAGAGCUCUGGGUGAGGGAAAACAACCGUUUUGUGCACUCGGGGCCCUCGACUGGAAAAUCAAAUAUUCUACGGAGCUCUUCUGAAAAACGGGCGUAAGAGGCGAACAGAGGUGAGUCCCUAUCCCAGACGGCCGUAGCCGACUUAGCGGCCCUACCUCUUAACAAAUUGAUGGUGUAGGCGAUCUUAGCUCGAUCUGAGGGGUAACUAAUGGGCUGUUGGUCAAACACUAAGGCGCAUCGGAGUAGGAAACCUCUGCAGCCCCCAAUCUCCCCAGCAUACGGCUCAGGAGGAGGGACAUAGGGCUCUUUGAGGAUAGUGGGUGGUGGAGGAGGCGAAGAGGGGAACGUACUCACAGAGGGGGGAGAUCCUGUUUGCUGCGGUGGAGGCCGAGGGAGUAGUUGCUCAGCCAGCUGCGACAUUUGAACGGAGAGGCCAUGAAAUGACUGGUAGAGACUCUGGAGCAUGUCCUCAUGUUGGCCAAGCCGCGUGCCGAGCUUCUGGACGGCUAGCUGAACUCUGUCUAGGUCUGCUGGGUCCAUUUUCCUGGCCUGAGUAUUCUGUUGUGAGGCAAGCUCGUAGUGAGGACCCAGAAGCAGACACUGAGACAGGGAUCAACGUAAAGCGAAUUUAAUGUCCAAAACAGAAAGGGAUAGCUAAGGAAACAAAGGAAGUCCGGGUGGUUGGCUGGUUGGCUGGCUGUUGUGUGGGCUGGAGACACUGCAGGAGAAACCAGAGGAGACAGGAGUUAGAGAACAUGAAAAAGAGUCACUAGGAGCAAAGUUCUCAAAGUUAUACCACGAGGAAGGCCAGGAGACGCGUCUGUACCGCUAGGAAGGGUAGACAAUACUCAGGCGCUGAGACUGAGGGCUGCAGGCUUCUUAAAGUCCCUUAAUUGGAGAUGAGGAGCAGGUGUGUCGUCUCACUCAGCCUCAGCGCCGGGGGAGGGGAGGAAGCUCUGGAAAAAGAGUACAGCCAGACCAGGCAAACAGGGAAAAACAGGAAGUCCGGCCAAAAUAAAACAGGAUGAGGAGGCGUCUCACCACAAUAAGACCUGGAAAUCAGGUUUUAAGUCAGACUUGAAACAUAGUCCUAGAUUUGAAUACCACCACACUGAACUGGUGAAUAUUAGACCUACCCACCAGCAUUAUUUAGUGAAUUCCCAAGACGGACUGAAGAAAAGUCCCAAUGUGUUUACCACAGUGAUGAGACAGGAAAGUCAUUAUUUUUUUAACUCCUGAGCACUG